UCGGGAAUUUUGGGCAAUGGGCGAAAGCCUGACCCAGCAACGCCGCGUGAAGGAUGAAGUAUUUCGGUAUGUAAACUUCGAAAGAAUAGGAAGAAUAAAUGACGGUACUAUUUAUAAGGUCCGGCUAACUACGUGCCAGCAGCCGCGGUAAUACGUAGGGACCAAGCGUUGUUCGGAUUUACUGGGCGUAAAGGGCGCGUAGGCGGCAUGACAAGUCACUUGUGAAAUCUCUGGGCUUAACCCAGAACGGCCAAGUGAUACUGUCGCGCUAGAGUGCAGAAGGGGCAAUCGGAAUUCUUGGUGUAGCGGUGAAAUGCGUAGAUAUCAAGAGGAACACCUGAGGUGAAGACGGGUUGCUGGGCUGACACUGACGCUGAGGCGCGAAAGCCAGGGGAUCAAACAGGAUUAGAUACCCACGUAGUCCCUGAGCGGGCUGGCAAGGCGCAU
rnacentral:rRNA from 1 species